rnacentral:piRNA from 1 species
UGCCUCAGCCCCUCUGUGCUUUUGCCUGU